GCGGACCGACGGGAGCUUGCUCCCUUAGGUCAGCGGCGGACGGGCGAUUAACACGUGGGUAACCUGCCUGUAAGACUGGGAUAACUCCGGGAAACCGGGGCUAAUACCGGAUGCUUGAUUGAACCGCAUGGUUCAAUCAUAAAAGGUGGCUUUUAGCUACCACUUUCCGAUGGACCCGCGGCGCAUUACCUAGUUGGUGAAGUAACGGCUCACCAAGGGGACGAUGCGUAGCCCACCUGAGAGGGUGAUCCGCCCCACUGGGACUGAGACACGGCCCAGACUCCUACGGGAGGCAGCAGUACGGAAUCUUCCGCAAUGGACUAAAGUCUGACGGAGCAACGCCGCGUGAGUGAUGAAGGUUUUCGGAUCGAAAAACUCUGUUGUUAGGGAAGAACAAUUACCGUUCCAAUAGGGCGGGACCUUGACGGUACCUAACCAGAAAGCCACUGCUAACUACGUGCCAGCAGCCGCGGUAAUACGUAAGUGGCAAGCGUUGUCCGGAAUUAUUGGGCGUAAAGCGCGCGCAGGCGGGUUCUUAAGUCUGAUGUGAAAGCCCCCGGCUCUAUCGGGGAGGGUCAUUGGAAACUGGGGAACUUGAGUGCAAAAAGGAGAUUGGAAUUUCUCGUGUAGCGGUGAAAUGCGUAAGAUGUGGAGGAACCCAGUGGCGAGGCGACUCUCUGGUCUGUACUGACGCUGAAGCCGAAAGCGUGGGGAGCGAACAGGAUUAGAUACCCUGGUAGUCCACCCCGUAAACGAUGAGUGCUAAGUGUUAGAGGGUUUCCGCCCUUUAGUGCUGCAGCAAACGCAUUAAGCACUCCGCCUGGGGAGUACGGUCGCAGACUGAACUCAAAGGAAUGACGGGGCCCGCACAGCGGGGAGCUGGGGUUAAUCGAGCACGCGAGAACCUACCGGUCUGAAUCUUUGACACCUAAAAUAGGCUUCCCUCGGGGAAAUGACGGUGUGCAGGUGUCUCACUCGGUCGGAAAGUGGGUAAUCC
rnacentral:rRNA from 1 species